rnacentral:rRNA from 1 species
GACGAACGCUGGCGGCGUGCCUAAUACAUGCAAGUCGAACGCAGUGGGGACGGGUGAGUCACACGUGGGUAACCUCCCAUCAGAGGGGAUAACACUUGGAAACAGGUGCUAAACCGAUAUCGAUGGAUGGAACCGCGGGGCAUUAGCUCGUGGGUGAGGUAACGGCUCACCAAGGCCACGAUGCAUAGCCGACGUGAGAGUGUGAUCGGUCACACGUGUACUGAGACACGGCCCAGACUCCUACGGGAGGCAGCAGUAGGGAAUCUUCGGCAAUGGAGGAAAGUCUGAUCGAGCAACGCCGCGUGAGUGAAGAAGGUUUUCGGAUCGUAAAACUCUGUUGUGAGAGAAGCGGUAUCUAACCAGAAAGCCACGGCUAACUACGUGCCAGCAGCCGCGGUAAUAC